rnacentral:rRNA from 1 species
UACGAAGGGGGCUAGCGUUGUUCGGAUUUACCGGGCGUAAAGCGCACGUAGGCGGAUCGUUAAGUCGGGGGUGAAAUCCUGGAGCUCAACUCCAGAACUGCCUUCGAUACUGGCGAUCUAGAGUCCGGAAGAGGUGAGUGGAACUCCUAGUGUAGAGGUGGAAUUCGUAGAUAUUAGGAAGAACACCAGUGGCGGAAGGCGGCUCACUGGUCCGGUACUGACGCUGAGGUGCGAAAGCGUGGGGAGCAACAG